rnacentral:rRNA from 1 species
AACGAACGUUGGCGGCGUGGAUUAGGCAUGCAAGUCGAACGAAUCCCAUCUGGGUAACUGGGUGGGGGAAGUGGCGAAAGGGGCAGUAAAGCGUAGGUAACCUACCUCGGGGACGGGGAUAGCCUUCCUAACGGAUGGGUAAUACCCGGCGAUCUGGCGAGGGGACAUCCUCUUACCAGGAAAGGAGUUUCGCCUCGAGGGAGGG